GUGCCAGCAGCCGCGGUAAGACGUAGGGGGCGAGCGUUGUCCGGAUUCACUGGGCGUAAAGCGCGCGUAGGCGGCUCGUUAAGUCGGAUGUGAAAACCCGGGGCUCAACCCCGGGCCUGCACCCGAUACUGGCGGGCUGGAGGCAGGUAGGGGAGAUCGGAAUUCCCGGUGUAGCGGUGAAAUGCGCAGAUAUCGGGAGGAACACCGGUGGCGAAGGCGGAUCUCUGGGCCUGUCCUGACGCUCAGGCGCGAAAGCUAGGGGAGCAAACAGGAUUAGAUACCCCGGUAGUCC
rnacentral:rRNA from 1 species